GUUUACAUAUUCAACAUUAUGUAUGUAUGAUGCUUUGUUAGUAAAUGGUUAGCGCCCAGUCGGACUUUAUACCUUCCAAGAAGCACUUCUAGAGCGAUUCUUUUUCCUGCAAGCACCAGUGAUUUAUACAUGACGUUUUGGUUUCCUAAUUACACAGGGCGAAACACGCCAGCACCGGUACAUUUGGAAGUAGGUAGGAACCGUUCCUUUAGAACGCAUUAGGAACUGGUGGUUGUUGUAAGUGAAACUUAAGUGCCUAAAACCGUUUAUUUUACCACUUCUUCAAACUAAGGAGAACUAAACGCACUUACGGCAUUCUCCAAAGAAAAUAAUCGCAUUUACUCGGUCUCCUGCCUUGCAAGAAAACAUGCAGACACCGACAGGAACGACGGCAACAACAUCCCCGAGAAAAACAAUAGCUACAACCACGACAAGGAUUUCAUCAUAGACGACGA